AAAUGAAUUGACGGGGGCCCGCACAAGCAGCGGAGCAUGUGGUUUAAUUCGAUGCAACGCGAAGAACCUUACCAGGUCUUGACAUCCUUUGACCGUCUAAGAGAUUAGAUCUUCCCUUCGGGGACAAAGUGACAGAUGGUGCAUGGUUGUCGUCAGCUCGUGUCGUGAGAUGUUGGGUUAAGUCCCGCAACGAGCGCAACCCCUGUGUUUAGUUGCCAUCAUUAAGUUGGGCACUCUAAACAGACUGCCCGUGAAAGCGGGAGGAAGGUGGGGACGACGUCAAAUCAUCAUGCCUCUUACGACCUGGGCUACACACGUGCUACAAUGGUCUGAACAAAGGGUAGCGAAGUGGUGACAUGGAGCCAAUCUCAUAAAUCAGAUCUCAGUUCGGAUUGCAGGCUGCAACCCGCCUGCAUGAAGUUGGAGUUGCUAGUAAUCGCAGAUCAGAAUGCUGCGGUGAAUGCGUUCCCGGGCCUUGUACACACCGCCCGU
rnacentral:rRNA from 1 species